rnacentral:rRNA from 1 species
UACCAGACUCCUACGGGAGGCAGCAGUCGGGAAUAUUGCGCAAUGGAGGAAACUCUGACGCAGUGACGCCGCGUAUAGGAAGAAGGUUUUCGGAUUGUAAACUAUUGUCGUUAGGGAAGAUAAAAGACAGUACCUAAGGAGGAAGCCCCGGCUAACUACGUGCCAGCAGCCGCGGUAAUACGUAGGGAGCAAGCGUUGUCCGGAAUUACUGGGUGUAAAGGGAGCGUAGGCGGGGAUGCAAGUUGGGUGUCAAAACUACCGGCUCAACCGAUAGUCGCACUCAAAACUGCAACUCUUGAGUGAAGUAGAGGCAGGCGGAAUUCCUAGUGUAGCGGUGAAAUGCGUAGAUAUUAGGAGGAACACCAGUGGCGAAGGCGGCCUGCUGGGCGUUUACUGACGCUGAGGCUCGAAAGUGUGGGGAGCAAACAGGAUUAGAUACCCUGGUAAGU